rnacentral:rRNA from 1 species
UACGUAGGGUGCGAGCGUUAAUCGGAAUUACUGGGCGUAAAGCGUGCGCAGGCGGCUUUGCAAGACAGAUGUGAAAUCCCCGGGCUCAACCUGGGAACUGCAUUUGUGACUGCAAGGCUAGAGUACGGCAGAGGGGGAUCGAAUUCCGCGUGUAGCAGUGAAAUGCGUAGAUAUGCGGAGGAACACCAAUGGCGAAGGCAAUCCCCUGGGCCUGUACUGACGCUCAUGCACGAAAGCGUGGGGAGCAAACAGG